rnacentral:rRNA from 1 species
GACGAACGCUGGCGGCGUGCUUAACACAUGCAAGUCGAACGGAAAGACCCCUUUGGGGGUACUCGAGUGGCGAACGGGUGAGUAACACGUGAGUAACCUGCCCUUGACUUCGGGAUAACUUCAGGAAACUGGGGCUAAUACCGGAUAGGAAUCCUUGCUGCAUGGUGGGGGUUGGAAAGCUUCGGCGGUUUUGGAUGGACUCGCGGCUUAUCAGCUUGUUGGUGGGGUAGUGGCUUACCAAGGCUUUGACGGGUAGCCGGCCUGAGAGGGCGACCGGCCACAUUGGGACUGAGAUACGGCCCAGACUCCUACGGGAGGCAGCAGUGGGGAAUAUUGCACAAUGGGCGGAAGCCUGAUGCAGCAACGCCGCGGGCGGGAUGACGGCCUUCGGGUUGUAAACCGCUUUCAGCAGGGGCGAAGCUUGUGGUGACGGUACCUGCAGAAGAAGCACCGGCUAACUACGUG